rnacentral:rRNA from 1 species
UACAGGGGGUGCAAACGUUGCUCGGAAUUAUUGGGCGUAAAGCGCGCGUAGGCGGCUACUUAAGUCGGAUGUGAAAGCCCUUGGCUCAACUGAGGAAGUGCACCCGAAACUGAGUGGCUUGAGUACUAAAGAGGGUCGCGGAAUUCCAGGUGUAGCGGUGAAAUGCGUAGAUAUCUGGAGGAACACCGGUGGCGAAGGCGGCGUUCUGGACUGCUACUGACACUGAGGAACGAAAGCCAGGGGAGCAAACGGG